ensembl:lncRNA
GCCCAUGGCUGAUUCUUCUCUGGUUUCUGAUCUGAUUGUUUCAAGUGGUGCUAGACCUUCCACAUUCCCUGGAAGACGGGUCAUUGCUAAUAUUCUCCCAGGUAUCCAGAACUCCAGAUCGUUGAUCCGGAAGUCCUAAGGACACUGGCUGGAGGAUGUGUCUGCCAUAAGGAAAUGGAUGAGGAGUCAUUAUCACCUCCAGGAGGAGCUUCAGUUAUUGAUCUUGGGUUCCUGAACAUUUCAAUCAGAGUAAACAGCUUGGUGCCAUCUCAGGUGUGUGAGCGCCACAACCACGAUGGCAGGUCUCCUGAGAACAGACCCGAAAGCUGGGAUGUGGUUUCUUAACACUUUCCCAAUUAGUUGACACUCACCAAAUUAAGGAGACACCGCAAGAGGAGAGAGGAAAAGGCUGAGCCUCUGAGGCUCAUCUGCGGUCUCCUCUGACAGCCUCUUAGCCAAGCAAACGGCAUCAGCAUGUUGUAACGUGAGCCAUUUUCCAGAAUCUGCACUGGGGUCUCUUGGGC